ncrna:unclassified sequences RAGATH-24 RNA
UUGACAGUCCAAAAACCACCUGCCCUCGGGAGAUACCCGAGGUGUGACCCUCGCCGUUUAUCGGUCGCCUCCCAGAUCCAUCGGGGGGCGGGGAGAGAGGGUCAGCGAUUCGUUCGCUUGAUGACGUGGGAAUAGGACAC